GGAGGAUUCGCCUAGUGGCCUAGGGCGCACGCUUGGAAAGCGUGUUGGGGGCAACCCCUCGCGAGUUCGAAUCUCGCAUCCUCCGCCA
rnacentral:tRNA from 10 species